AUUGAACGCUGGCGGCGUGCCUAAUACAUGCAAGUCGUACGGAAAGGCCCUUCGGGGUACUCGAGUGGCGGACGGCUGAGUAACGCGUGGGAACGUGCCCCAAAGUGAGGGAUAACGCACCGAAAGGUGUGCUAAUACCGCAUAUGGUCUUCGGAUUAAAGCUUCGGCGCUUUGGGAGCGGCCCGCGUACGAUUAGAUAGUUGGUGAGGUAAUGGCUCACCAAGUCGACGAUCGUUAGCUGGUCUGAGAGGAUGAUCAGCCAGACUGGGACUGAGACACGGCCCAGACUCCUACGGGAGGCAGCAGUAAGGAAUCUUCCACAAUGGGGGCAACCCUGAUGGAGCAACGCCGCGUGCAGGAUGAAGGUUUUCGGAUCGUAAACUGCUUUUAUAAGUGAAGAAUAUGACGGUAACUUAUGAAUAAGGAUCGGCUAACUACGUGCCAGCAGCCGCCGUAA
rnacentral:rRNA from 1 species